CCAGGAUAUUGGUCUUGGCUGGGACUCAGCCGGAACCAUGGCGACUUGGAGUGGUGCGACGGAUCAACUACAUAUGACGCCCCGUGGUAUCUUCCGAAAUUUCCAUAUGCCUGCUCCAAAUUGACGACUGCUGCUGAAGUUUACAUAGACACUUGCGAUACCCUUCGUCCAUCCAUCUGUCAAAAAGGCAAGGCCAGAGAUUCUCUUCCGCUUCUCCCAGCGCCGACAU